rnacentral:lncRNA from 1 species
AUAGUUUCAGGUUUUGUGUUUGAAUCUUUGGUUCAUUUUUACUUGAUUUUAUAUAUGUUGUAAGGUAACAUUUUUGCAUGUAGAUAUUCAGAUUCAUAGCACCAUUUGUUUAAAGCAUGCUUUUCUUCUUUACCCUGUUUUUCUGUCUUGGUUCAUGAAACAGGAACUUCUUUAAAUUCUUUUAAACUCUCACCCUCUCGGGCAGUAAUUGAGGAAAGGACUUCCACCUUUCUCUUUGCCUAUUCCUAGCUUCAUUCCAUUGUAGGAGAGACUUUUUGGAUUACUGUUUAUGUUUCACAUCCCUUGCUUCACUCCUCGGCCAUGUGAUAGCCUCAUAUCAGAAACCAGCUUGAACAAACUAAGCCAAGACUCUCUGCUCAUUUGCUGACUUUAAUGAAAGGACACCCAAGUGGCAAGAACUGAAGGAGGCUUGUAGGAAUUGGGGAUGGCCUCCAGCCAGCAACCUGCAAGAUCAUGAGGCUGUCAGUCCUACAACUAUAAGGAAGUAAAUCCUGCUGACAACCUGAAAGAGCUUAUAGCAUGGGAGGAGUUGAUGUGGAUCAUUGGAAAAUACAGCCUGCCACAAAUGGACAUAAACGAAAGUCUCCUCAUCGAUAGUUAAGAAAGCCAUGUUGGUUCACCACAUGUAUCGCAUCCUGAUAAUGUGAAGUGAAAAAGUAGAGCCUGGAAGCCUUUGUAAGAUGACUGUGCCAGAGGAGGAAGAUAAAUAUCUCGAUGCUAUGGAGGCCUGUCAGCUCUUUGAAGUAUCUGGGCAAUAUCAAGAUUUCUACUUCAGAUGAAAAAACAAAUAGUUAUUCAUUGACCCUGUUGCCGCCAAGAAAGAGGUGAAAGGUGAACCCCCAACCCACGGAAAGAUCCAGCCAAGUAAGGAACUGCAAAAUAUUGAAUGACUAAUUCUCCAAACAAGG